GGCUAGGUGGCCGAGCGGUCUAAGGCGCCAGGUUCAGGUCCACCUGAAUUUCAACUUGAACGCGGUUCAAUUUCCUGGUCUCAGUAAUGGGGCGUGAGUUCGAAUCUCACCCUAGUCA